ensembl:lncRNA
CAGCUGACACCUCAGGCUGACUUUGUCUCACACAUCAAACCACCACCUGCCUUGGUUAUAAGGAAGGGAUGAAGGAAGGUGAAAGAUACUCGGACAGAAGAAGCCAGCACAGAACUAAGAGCAGUAUGAAGGAAAGAUAUCUUCAGUCAAAGAGAACCCUCCAGGAGGAGCAACUCAUCAAAAGAGCAGAGAGGGAGCCUCUCCUGACACGCUACCUACAUCUACUGGAAGCACAAAAGAGCAGUCCCUCUAAAAGCCACAAGAGCAACGCUCUCAUUCCGCGAUGCACUAACUGCUUGAGGAAAGACAUCCAAGUCCUUCAGGAUUUCAUCAGGGUGCAUGAAUCUUCUCAAGAUGUUGUUGCCCGUGAAGAAGUUGUUAUCGUCAGUGAAGACACUGAAGUUUGCAAACCCAUGCCACCAAAGAGAGGUAAACUCUCUGAGGAGGUAGCCCAAAUGCAACAACACAGAAGACCACCAGCAAGCAGGGAUUCUCCAUCAGCCCAGCACAUAUACAAUAGGGAGUCUCUAGGUGGCAGGGCAACGUCUGAAUUUUCAGACAGAGUGACUGAACCAAAUAAUAUGUAUCAUCUUGCUGAAGGUAAGUGCGACUGUGUGAGUUUGUGUGAAAGGGAGAGAAAUGGAGCAGCACCAAUACAAUAUUCCGCUGUCACCCAUAGCAGGAUUCUGUACAAAAUUGUCUUUAUUGUUCACAGUGUAAUUAUAAAAGCAUUUAGGCUUGUGAGAGCAUGUUCAUUUUCCUAG